CACGGAUAGGAGUGGCGCACGCGUAGGAGCGGGGCGCGGGCAGGAGGAAGAACCCCAUGACUGCACACAGCGAGGAUUCCUCCAUUUCUUCCCAACGUUACUCAGUGUAACUGGGCAUCCUGUAAUUUUCCAGCAGCCAGACCUACAAAGCCUGAGAUGACCGGGGACACCCCCGCACCCCAUCGUACCUCACGCCCCCCACCUCCCCUGCAGCUUGGGUGUCCUGCUUUUCCCGGAGCCCAGAGAGAGUUCCUCCACUUCAGGAAUGCGUCCUGCCAUCCCCUCUGCUCCUGGUAUCCCUGUGGGCCACUCCCCUGGCCCCUGCAGAUCUCUGCCCAGAUGGCAUCUCUCGCCGAGGCCUGUCCUGACCAGCCGGUACAAAACAGCAGCCCUGUCACCGCCCCUUCACCGCUCGGUGGCUUCUAUGACCUUCCACCAGAAAGCCGUCUCCUUGAAGGCAGAGUUUCAUCUCUGCUGUCCACAGCUGUGUCCCCACACUGACGACAGUGCCUGGCAUGUAGUAGUUAGUCAAUAAAUAUUUUUCAAAUAAAUGAUGUCCCUACUGCCCCACCCCAGGCCACCGGCAAACUCCUUAAACCACAAGGACAGCUUUGUGGCCUCUCCUCUGCAAAGCUCUCCCUGACCACACGCGUGUCCUCCAGGCAGGAAGAGCCUCCUCACUAGCCGAAGAGUCCCUCCGAGGUAGCGAUGGUGUCCCAUCCACCUUUC
rnacentral:lncRNA from 1 species